rnacentral:rRNA from 1 species
UACGGAGGAUGCAAGCGUUAUCCGGAAUGAUUGGGCGUAAAGCGUCCGCAGGUGGCACUCCAAGUCUGCUGUCAAAGCCUGGGGCUUAACCCUAGAGAGGCAGUGGAAACUGGAGAGCUAGAGUACGGUAGGGGUAGAGGGAAUUCCCGGUGUAGCGGUGAAAUGCGUAGAGAUCGGGAAGAACACCAGUGGCGAAAGCGCUCUGCUAGGCCUGUACUGACACUGAGGGACGAAAGCUAGGGGAGCGAAUGGG